CCUACGGGUGGCUGCAGUGAGGAAUAUUGGUCAAUGGGCGUAAGCCUGAACCAGCCAAGCCGCGUGAGGGAUGAAGGUUCUAUGGAUCGUAAACCUCUUUUAUAAGGGAAUAAAGUGUGGGACGUGUCCUGUUUUGUAUGUACCUUAUGAAUAAGCAUCGGCUAACUCCGUGCCAGCAGCCGCGGUAAUACGGAGGAUCCGAGCGUUAUCCGGAUUUAUUGGGUUUAAAGGGUGCGUAGGCGGCCUUUUAAGUCAGCGGUGAAAGUCUGUGGCUCAACCAUGGAAUUGCCGUUGAAACUGGGAGGCUAGAGUAUGAUAGAGGCAGGCGGAAUGCGCGGUGUAGCGGUGAAAUGCAUAGAGAUCGCGCAGAACCCCGAUUGCGAAGGCAGCAUGCCAGGCCAUGACUGACGCUGAUGCACGAAAGCGUGGGGAUCGAACAGGAUUAGAUACCCCUGUAGUC
rnacentral:rRNA from 1 species